ACCGGCCGCGGCGUCAGUGCUAGAGGCUGCAGAUCUGCAGAAAGACGGAAACGCGUAGUGUAUCAGGACAGGAGACGGCGGCGCUUCGAAGGCAGCAGAUUUCGUGAGUAGUCCUGGUUCGGGUCCAGAUCCGGCUCCGGAUGCACCGCAGGAGGAGGAUUGACUGUAGGCUGUAGGGAGCGAGUGUGUACGGCGUGAUUCAGAACACCACCGUGUCACCUGCUCGGGUGACGUCAGCGGAGCGUCGCCGGAAGUCGCGCCUCACCUGUAGUGUGUGUGUAGCCGGUGUGUUUGGAGAGUGUGAGGUGUAGGAUGAUGAAUCGUGAUUUACCGUGUUUACGGUUUUAAUCGGAUUUUAUGUGAAAACGUAAAUAAUAAGAAUCCUGUAGCGAGACGCGCGCGCCGGUUUUACCUGAGCACGAGACUCGCAGGUAGGAACGAUGUUCAGGGUUCAUGUAUGUGACGUAACGGUGUUCCGUACAGGCGUCCAUACAUUUAUGAUCCUCACUCUGUUAUUGUGUAAACGUUCAUGUAUUUAUGACAGAUGAUUUUAUGGGCACAUCAGAGUUCCUCACCUACUACAAACCUUACCGUUGGAAAUAACUUUUGUAUUUAUUUUAAUUUUAAUGAAAGAUCAAUAAUUCUGUGAUAUUGAU